GAGUUUGAUCCUGGCUCAGGACGAACGCUGGCGGCGCGCCUAACACAUGCAAGUCGAACGAGAGAGAGGAAGCUUGCUUCCUCAAUCGAGUGGCGAACGGGUGAGUAACGCGUGAGGAACCUGCCUCAAAGAGGGGGACAACAGUUGGAAACGACUGCUAAUACCGCAUAAGCCCACAGCUCGGCAUCGAGCAGAGGGAAAAGGAGCAAUCCGCUUUGAGAUGGCCUCGCGUCCGAUUAGCUAGUUGGUGAGGUAACGGCCCACCAAGGCGACGAUCGGUAGCCGGACUGAGAGGUUGAACGGCCACAUUGGGACUGAGACACGGCCCAGACUCCUACGGGAGGCAGCAGUGGGGAAUAUUGCACAAUGGGGGAAACCCUGAUGCAGCGACGCCGCGUGAGUGAGGAAGUAUUUCGGUAUGUAAAGCUCUAUCAGCAGGGAAGAUAAUGACGGUACCUGACUAAGAAGCUCCGGCUAAAUACGUGCCAGCCGCCGCGGUAAUAC
rnacentral:rRNA from 1 species